rnacentral:rRNA from 1 species
GACGUAGGGCGCGAGCGUUGUCCGGAUUUAUUGGGCGUAAAGAGCUCGUAGGCGGCUUGUCGCGUCGACUGUGAAAACCGUCGUGACUCAACUGUGGUCUGCAGUCGAUACGGGCAGGCUAGAAUUCGGUAGGGGAGACUGGAAUUCCUGGUGUAGCGGUGAAAUGCGCAGAUAUCAGGAGGAACACCGGUGGCGAAGGCGGGUCUCUGGGCCGAUACUGACGCUGAGGAGCGAAAGCGUGGGGAGCGAACAGG